UGCAAUAGUGUGAUGUUGUUGCGCUGUAUUAUGAACGAGACAGGGUGUUAUGUUUUAUUUUGAAGUAUUGCUUUUAUUUUGAAGAACCGGAUGUCUGGUGCAGGAAGUGACUGCGUUUUUUUCGGAUACAUUUUCGGACAUUUGCUGACGAGGUAAUAGUUCUUCAUUGCUCUGUGUUUCUUGUGUAAAUAUUAUUUCUAAACUUUCAUAAUACUUUAAAAGUUAAAAUAUUAAUGUUGUAGGUAUAAGUGAUGUGUUGUUUUAAGUAUUUUUUUAUGCACAAUUUUGUUAAGUAAGGAUUAGAGCGUCGAAUGUUUGAAAUGUUUGGUCAUAAUUACACAUGGUAUUUAAGCAGGUAUCACUCCGCCAGAAAAGUAGAGACCUGUGUAUGUGUUUCAUGUUUCCAAAACAGGUAUCACUCCGCCAGAAAAGUAGAGACCUGUGUAUGUGUUUCAUGUUUCCAAAACAGGUAUCACUCCGCCAGAAAAGUAGAGACCUGUGUAUGUGUUUCAUGUUUCCAACAAAGGUGGCCAAUAAAUGAUGAAACGAC